rnacentral:rRNA from 1 species
AACUCAUCAGGACAACUAAAGUUUUAGGAUUGACAGAUUGAUAGCUCUUUCUUGAUUGACUUAAUGGUGGUGCAUGGCCGUUUUUGGUUGGUGGAUCGAUCCGUCUGGUUAAUUCCGUUAACGAACGAGACCUCGGCACUCCGAAUAGCGCGGCGGACGUCGCGGCCUCCGGGCCGUCUUCCGCACGAGCUUCUUAGAGGGGACCGUCCCCCCGCCGGGGAAGGAGGUGCGAGGCAACGACAGGUCUGUGAUGCCCUUAGAUGUUCUGGGCCGCACGCGCAUUACACUGACGCGUCCAACGGGUGACUCCCGACCCGAAGGGGCCGGGGAAUCCGCAAGGCGCGUCGUGAUGGGGAUUGAACGUUGCAAUUGUUGUUCACGAACGAGGAAUUCCUAGUAGGCGCGGGUCAUCAACCCGCGCCGAUUACGUCCCUGCCCUUUGUACACACCG